rfam:Heligmosomoides polygyrus genome assembly, scaffold: HPBE_scaffold0006938
GUGGUGUAAGGCGAACAUCGCUGCCCGGAAAGCAGAAGAUGCGGGUUCGAGUCCCGCC